rnacentral:rRNA from 1 species
UGAGGAAUAUUGGGCAAUGCCCGCCAGGGUGACCCAGCAACGCCGCGUGGAGGAUGAAUGUCGUAAGAUUGUAAACUCCUGUUAGAGGGGAAGAAUAGUACCGGUUGGACCGGUAUAUGACUGUACCCUCAGAGAAAGCCCCGGCUAACUACGUGCCAGCAGCCGCGGUAAUACGUAGGGGGCAAGCCUUGUCCGGAUUUACUGGGCGUAAAGCGCGUGCAGGCGGAUUGGAGAGUUGGAUGUGAAAGCUCCCGGCUUAACUGGGAGAGGUCGUUCAAGACUUCCAGUCUUGAGUGGAGUAGAGGGAAGUGGAAUUCCGGGUGUAGUUGUGAAAUGCGUAGAUAUCCGGUGGAACACCAGUGGCGAAAGCGGCUUCCUGGAAUGUAACUGACGCUCAGACGCGAAAGCUAGGGUAGCAAACG